UUUAUGACAUCAAAUUUUACACACAACUAUAGAAAUUGUAUUUUAAGCAUCUUACAUCUAUGUCAGGAGAAAUUACAUGCAUAGAAAAUGCACGAUUAGAGAAACUAAAAACAGAUCAAAAUUCAAAUUAUACGGGGGGCAAUGACAGGUAUAGACCUCCAUAUAACUAGACUAUUUAGCAACUUGUUCAACGACAGGUGAUUUAUUCCAAGCUUCCUCUAAUCCACCAAGCUGCAAUGGUGGCAACGAAAACAUGCUAACAGUUGAGCUUCCACUACGAAUCUCUUUCAAAGCUCGUAAAGCAGAUAUAGUACUUUUCAUAUACAGGCUCUCCAUGAACUCGAUCUCAGCAAGUUCUUUUGGGCCUUUUAGCAGAACUUCAUUGUUGGUUGUGGAACUGGUUGAGGGUUCGUCUCCAUCAGCUGCCUCAGUUUCAGGUGGUGUUUUGUUCACUGGAAACAGGCGGUCGAGCAUUGUCUCACACUCUUUCACAAGCUUGUACAGUAAGUCAGUUGUAAAAAAAGGCUGUUGCACAACCUUCUGUAUGAAUGGCAGGCGAAGCAGAGCACCAGUUCUUUUGUCAUACUUCUUCAAUAUUUUGGCCAGUCCUGUUAAGCACAAAGUGAUAAAGACUAAAUCUUAAUAUUGUUUCAUGUGGACCAUAGUCUAAGACAUUGUAAGUAAAAAUUUAUAAAUAAUAAUUUUAAGGGCAUUAUAUGAACCAACUUCUCCAGCAAAAGGCUGGUAUAAGCCUUAUUUAUUAUCGACAGACUUCUCUAUAACACAUCGAGAUGUAAAUGAUUAGGACUGUGUUGGCUAUGAACAAAUUCUAUUAAUCUUACUUUUAUCCAUCUAGAUUACAGUAUUGAUGCCACAAGGGAUAAUUCAAUGAAUUUUUCAGACAAGACGUAUCUAAAACAGAGGAAAGCAUGAUAUGGAAGUUUUGAUUUGUUGAUAUUCUAACUCAAUAAUUAUAUAGCAGGAAUUCAACAGUCAAGAAAUUCAUAGUUCUAAAGCUGUCUAAUGUGAAGGCAAAAAACAGAAGUAAUUAGAUUACAGAGUUAACUCGAAAAAUGUAAAAGUUUUUUUUACCUGUAUAAUUAAGAGCACUGUAAUUCUCCAACAAAACCAUCUCCCCAUGAAAGUCGACAAUUUCUUUCCAUAUUUUGAUCGUCUCAUCGUUCUGGUCCUUGGCCUUAGCCACCCGAUCUUGCAAUUCCUUUACACCAAAUAAUGUAAAAAUACGUAAGUUCACUACCAGAACCAAAUAUUCACUCGCAAUCUAUAGUAAAGCAUCUAAUUGCAAAAUAAUAAGAACAGAAUAUAGUAUUCAACACUAAGUGGAAUAUACAAUUUCUUAAAUCUGUUGUCCAAUUGAGUCCAGUCACCAUACGAAACAUGCCUUAAAUGCUAAAAUAACAAUGACAAUUACAAGUAUCCUGCUAAACAAAUAGUGGAAAUUUAUAUUGAACUAUGCCCACAUCAUUGUUGUCGAGAUGUAGGUAAUUCAGCCAAAACAAAAAAAGAAAGUGAAAUGUCAAUAAAAUGAAUUGAGUUUUAUCAUAUCUACUGUUGAAUAAACCAUAAAAAUCAGGUAAAAGAAAAUGGAUGGUCAUUCUAUUUUGCCCUGUGUUCACAUAUAUAUUUUUUAACCCUUAAACUUAGAGCAUCUCCAAGAAACUCUCUAAAUACAAAAUACUCUUUAUUUUAAAGAGUAAAUUAAGAGUGGACAAAAUGUCUCAACAAAACUAGACUAAAUCAAAAUCGAACCCAACCAAGCGGUUUGGUUCAAUUCUACAAAAAGUUUAAUGAUUUUGAUUCUUCGAACCGAGAACCAUUUUGUUUUGGCUUUAAUUUGAUUAUUGGAGACAGCCCAUUAAUUGGAGAUAGCUCAUUAAUUGGUUCUGUGUCAUUGGAGAUAUUUCAUUAAUUGUGUACACGCUAAUUUUGUAUUCAUUGAAUUUUUUUUUCUUUCACCCCUUUUCAAUUUACACAGCGCUACAGCAUGUCAACUCCCUAUUUCAUCACGUUAGUAGAGGAGAAUUGUCAAUCACUUAAAAUGCCUUUAAACUAUCUUUUCACCUUGAUUAUUUGAUGAAUUAUUUGGGUUCUUCACAUAGAGGAAAAUUCAAUAAGCAUUCAUGGAUAUAAAUGGUUAAAGGUUUCCUGUAAAAGUGGAAUGUAAACAUUUUGCAUAAUUCAUCAUUUAUUGUGGGGGUAUGUCGUCAAAACAGCUACAAUUAAUUUAGGGCUUUUGUGGAGAUAGGUGAGUACCAUUUUUUAUUUUUAUUUUUUUUGAUAGGUAAUCAUAAUUUUAUUAAUUAAAAGAGAUUACACGGGAUGUGUACAAUCACUUUAAACAAGAGAGAAACGUCAUGAAAUUAGGCAACCCUUCUAUUGUUGUUAUUUCAUGUUGGGUUUUAUUGCUUUAGGAUAUUUUCAAUGCUUUAUGGUGCAAGCUUGAAAAUUUAAGUAGUUAAUUCUAACCAAAUGGUUCGGCUCCAAUUUGAUUCCAUAUCUUAAAAAAGUCAUUUGAUUCCAUUAUCAAAAGAAUCAUUAAUUCAUGAUUCGGUUCGGUUCGGUUAUCUUGGAACUAGAACUAAAUGGAACCAUGUACAUCCCUAAAGUUAAUGCAUAAAAAUAAGCUCUAAGAGAUUCCAUUUUAAUUUUUAAAAUAGAAGUGGUUUGGAUUUCCAAAAUUAGAGAGCCAAACUUACUCCAUUCUCAAUGUACAAUGAUUGCUUUAAUAAGUCACAAAAUUCAAUACUCUAGUUCUUAAACUAUUCAAAACACAUUUAAAUUGAUUGCCUAUUGAUAAAUAAAAAAUUAUAUUAAAUAAAAUAUAAUGAGAAACCAAUAAAUAUUUCUUGGAAAAAAUAAAAAUGAAGAGCCAAAAUAGAAAGCAUUGUUGAAGUGUAUAAAAAUUUCAACUCUCUAAAUUUAAAGAUGCUCUCAACAAUGCAUGAGAUGCUUAUAAAGAGUCUCUCGGAUAUGCUCUUAGUAGCAUUAGACAUAUGGCUAUUUGGCAGGCCUAAAUAUCUUUGCAAGUUCUGAUAUUACACAUUAAUGAGAAGGAAAGUAAUAAUUUCUUUAAGAUCACAAAAAUCGGAUCCAGGAUCCGAGAAAGAAUUCCUAAUUAAACUGUUGUCAAAACCUUUAAAUGCAGUAAAUUGCCCAAGUUGCAAAAUUCUUGAAAGGGACAGAGCGAUCCAACUCCAAAAGAUUAGUAAUAAACGCGUAGAAUUCGUCGAAAAUCAAAUCAAUUCAAAUGAAUACGAAUUAUUCCAUCAAAAAUGUAGCACCGCAUAAUUAAAGGUAAAAAAGAAUAUUCGUAUAGCAUAAUUACCUUUACUCUGAUGAUGUAUUCUUCCUCCUUCUCAACAAAGAAAGCGUUAAAUUUCUCAAGUUCAUCCUCCAAUAACUUGACGAAAUUUGCCUCCGCCUCCGUCAUAACCACCCUUUCGCCACCACCAUCGGCGGCCAAUUCGUCGCCCACUUUCUGCCUCUUCUUGGCACUACCCUCUUCCCCAGCCGAUGACGACGGCCCCUUCGCCUCUAUCAGCUUGAGCUUCUUUUUGAGCUCCUUGUAUGACAAAAACUUGUCCCUCCAUUCAGGUAAAGUCUCAUCAAUUUGAUUGCUCAAACUCUUUCCAAACUUCAUACCGACUGAAAUCCAAAGAAACGGAAAAAUUAAAAUUAUGGGGUUGAUUGAAAAACACAAAAUUCAACAAAUUGAAAUUAAGGGUUUGGUCAGAAUUACGAAUUUGAUUGAAAAACAGAAAAUGAAUGGAUGGAGAUGAAAGUGUGUAGAGGAAAUGACGGAAAAGAAAGGCGAGGAGUGAUAUAACGGUAACUGAAGAGAGAGAAUAUGCGAGGGGUAGAGUGGGAAUAUUCUUCGUUAAAGAGGAUAUCUCUUGGUUUUAUUCUCUUCAGGACAGAGACUUAGAUUAAUUUUUUAUUCCUCUCUUUUCUUAAUUAUUAUAGUUGACACUUGGCAAUGAGGUUCAUUUUGGCUUGGACUGGGACUGGACUUAAAUAAUUAUUUCUCGAGAUAUUUAUGUCCGGACCGGACCUAGUGAACCGGAGUUAGAAGUUAGGCUGGCUAAAAAUAUAUAAAUAUGGAUUUUUUAGUAGUAAUUAUGAAAAUUGAUUUUUUGAUCGUUAGAAAGAAUAUUGAAUCAUAUUUGUGAGUGAAUAAAUAAAAAAUAACGGCUGAAAUAAUGAAAUAACGAUAAAAAAAAAUGAAUUUUUUGAGGUGAAAAAUUACUACCAAAUUUAAAUAUUGAUUUUUAUAAUUCCAUAUGAUAUUUAAUUAUUUGAAUCAACAAGAUCAAUAUACUUCCUAUUUCUAUAUCAAUCAUGAAAUUAUUUUUUUAUUAGACACCUAACUUGUUUCUAAUUUUAAGAAAAAAACAUAUGGCUAGUAUUUUUUUUUUGUAUGAUAUUUAAUUAUUUGAUUCAACGGGAUUAACAUACUUCUUAUUUCUAUAUCAAUCAUGAAAUAUUUUUCUAUUAGACACCUUUUUUUUUCAUUUUAUGAAAAAAAAACAUAUGGCUAUAAUAUAAAACACCGUCAUAUUCAACGGGAUUAACAUACUUCUUAUUUCUAUAUCAAUCAUGAAAUAUUUUUCUAUUAGACACCUUUUUUUUUUCAUUUUACGAAAAAAAAAACAUAUGGCUAUAAUAAAAAACACCGUCAUUUUCAAUGGGAUUAACAUACUUCUUAUUUCUAUAUCAAUCAUGAAUUAUUUUUCUAUUAGACACCUUUUUUUUUUCAUUUUACGAAAAAAAAAACAUAUGGCUAUAAUAAAAAACACCGUCAUUUUCAAUGGGAUUAACAUACUUCUUAUUUCUAUAUCAAUCAUGAAUUAUUUUUCUAUUAGACACCCUUUUUUUUUCAUUUUACAGAAAAUAACAUAUAGCUAUAAUAAAAAACACAGUCUCGUAUGUGUGUGUGUGUACUUAUGUAUGUAUGUGUGUGUGUGUGUAUAUAUAUAUACACACACAUACAAGUAUGUAUAUGUAUACAUAUACUUUUAAACAUAAUUUAUUUACAAAGAAUGUUUGUAAAAUAGAUCCACACAUGAUAUUUAUAGGAAUCUAAUUUAAAGAAAACGUAAACAUUUCAUAAUCAAUUAAAGAUAUUAAAUCACCGACUUCUCCAUGACAUGUUGCAUCUCUAUCUAACAUCAUCCACGCCCCCCAAGCAAGUCAAAUAAAUCCGUAGAUAGGGAAUUAACCCAUGAGUUUGAAACUCAAUAGAUGUCAUUUGUGCAUUUCGUUAUCAAACUAGAAAUUUCGUACUAUUGAUUCAUACCGUUGUACGUAGAUGGAUUUCCGGCAAAAUUCGAUAUCUAUAGCAUUAUCAUAACACGUAGAGCCGGAGAAUAAUCAUUCAAACUAUUGUAGUGCCGAAACAUCGUACCCGAAGGUACCAUUUCAUUCAAACAUUUACCAAAAAUCAUAAUUUGAAACGAAGUAAACAUUUGCACCUCUACCUACCUUGAAUUUUCUUGGAUAUCAAAGAACAAAUCUAGAUUCAAAGUUCGGUAUUCCAAAUACAAUUUACCCUUCUGUUUAUCACAAACAAUGUUAGGAAUCUGCGGCAAUCCAGUUCUAACCACAUGUAAUAUUGUUUGUUGGAAAUACUUGACAUCAGUAUGGUCUAUUUCUCUAGGACACCCUAGUGGUUAAGAUAGUUUAUAUGGUAAAACCAUGCUUAUUCGAGUAGGGUUUAAGUUAUUGUAUCUCAUGUAUCAUGACUAUGCCCCCGUUUGGCCCUCAUUACGUGAAAAAUUAAUGGGUGGAAUAGUAUUUUUUUUGAAAAAUGAGUGGUUAAAAAAGAAGGAAAAAUUUUCGAUUUACGCGUAAUAUUAUUUUAUGGAAGAUUGUGUGAUUGAAAAUAGGAAAGAGAAAAAUGAAAUGUAAUGUAAUGUAAAUUAAUGGGGCUCAAACAGGUGCUAUAUAUAGAUAUUGGAAAAAAAUGCCUACAGGAAAUUACUGCCUCUUGAUCACAAUCACACUAUCCUUGAUAGACAGAAGUCCGAUGGUGGUGCAAUAUUUGUCAUUGUAGGGCAGUUCAAUGAAAGAUGUGUUCCACGGGUCACUUUUUAGAAGAAUCGAUUAGUAUGAACAAGAUCCCACUUAUAAGUGUCGUGCGGGCUUGAUCUCAUCACAAUUUCGCUACUUGUACAGAAACUGUACAUAUUUGUCGAUGGAAUAUGAGAUGACAGUUUUUUGAUCCUUUAUUUGAAUGAAUGAUUGAGGGCCAAAAAUUGCCGCCUCAUUUCUGUCAACAAAUAUGUACAAAAAUUCUGUACAUGUAGCAAUUUUUGUCUCAUCAAACAUCUACCCAUAUAUAUCUUAGUUAUUUGCGUGCACUUAUUGCAACGACUACUGCAGUCAAGCCAAUCAAACCUACCUCCCUCCCUCCGGGCAGUAGAAUGGAAGUUAAAGAAGAUAACAUUCAAUGCCUUUAUGACAUCAAAUUUUACACACAACUAUAGAAAUUGUAUUUUAAGCAUCUUACAUCUAUGUCAGGAGAAAUUACAUGCAUAGAAAAUGCACGAUUAGAGAAACUAAAAACAGAUCAAAAUUCAAAUUAUACGGGGGGCAAUGACAGGUAUAGACCUCCAUAUAACUAGACUAUUUAGCAACUUGUUCAACGACAGGUGAUUUAUUCCAAGCUUCCUCUAAUCCACCAAGCUGCAAUGGUGGCAACGAAAACAUGCUAACAGUUGAGCUUCCACUACGAAUCUCUUUCAAAGCUCGUAAAGCAGAUAUAGUACUUUUCAUAUACAGGCUCUCCAUGAACUCGAUCUCAGCAAGUUCUUUUGGGCCUUUUAGCAGAACUUCAUUGUUGGUUGUGGAACUGGUUGAGGGUUCGUCUCCAUCAGCUGCCUCAGUUUCAG
rnacentral:lncRNA from 1 species